UCUAAACUUGUUUCAUUUAUCUAUGGGAUAGAUCUCGUUGUAAAACAAUGAUGUGCAAAAAAUCUCCGAUCUAGUGUUUAAAACCUGUUUAAUAGCUGUUAAAAGAUUCACUUAGCGCCAAAUAUGCGCACAUCAUAGUGCACACACUGUUUUUUAAUUAAUAUGCUGGUUUACUUACAUUAUUCCUUUCUCUAUGCUCAUGUCAUUAUAAGAUGAUUCUCUCUCGUUUUUCACCAAACCACCACGUUUAAAUCCACUCACUCAACUGUAAUAUGUGCAUAUGAAUACUCCAUACAAUAUUUAUUUUUAUUUUUAAUAGUAGGAGAUGAUGGACAAAAGUAGCACCUUCUAUGUAUAUAAUUAUCCAAAAAUAGUAUGAAAAUAUGAAGGUUGCGUACCGUUUCAAAAUAUUGCAAAUACAAUGUAGAACAAGGGACCUGUUUAUAAAAAAUCUUAGAAAUGAGCAAUUUUAACAAACAUACUUUUGGACUAGAGAAUUUUUAUAGUCAUAUCUCACUUUGCCUGAUAUUUGUUUUUGAUUAAGUUAUGCUCAAAUCAUGCAAAUUUGUAAAUCUAUAAACCUAAAAUAAAUCUCCGUCCAAAGAAGAAAAUGAAAAAAAAAAGAUAUUUUGAUAUUUUCACAAAGAAAUAUGA